ACUUGACAUUGAAAAUUGCUACAUUAAAUACCCAGCUCCUCUGCGCGAUUACAGCAGCCUCCGGAGCUCUCCCAAAUUGUCACCUAGGAUGAAUAUGACAGCAAACAAUGCUUUAAAAUGACUUUGAGUUUUAUGCAAUUUCUUGUAUAAAAGGAGAGCCUGAGUCCAUGGAAGUUGGGAUUGAACAUCCUGAAUAUGCAGUUCCUUGGAGAGCCACCAAGAAAAGACCUAAGCAAGAGACAUGAUGUCACCUUCGGGGAGGAGGCUCUUCAAGCUGUUUGGCAUGAGAAGAGGAGGAAUGAGGAGGAUCACUGGCCUUGAACCCCCAAAGAGAGGCUAGAGCACCUUUCUAGGACCCAGUCCAGGGUUUGUCUUGAACAUCCAGCUCCAAAAGAGAUGCUGUGCAGAUUCAAGCUGCCAAGUCCUGAAGGACCUGAGGGAAAACCCAACCCCAAGCAGCCCAGAUGGUAUCUGAGUAUCCUGUGCCCUACCCACGAAGAUCAGGAGCCUAAAGGCUAGAGCUCACUGCAGAACCAGACCAAAGACAGUUUAAGGGCCAUUGAGCCAAGCCUUCCUGACCUCCCAUGGAGAGGGGAAGAGAGAACAGGACCUCCACUUAUCCACCUACCCGCUGCUGAGUCCCUUUAGCCCUUGGCAUGGUAAUUAACGGUCAGGAAGUUAUGCAUCAGCCUCAGCAAGCUAACAUGGCAGGAGAUCCCUCCUGACAGCAGAGCUAAUAAGAAAUUUGCUAAUGCAAUUUAUCACUUUAAAAAGCCAUAUGUCGGUGGGGAUGAGCACUUCUCUGCAGCAGCUAGUGUAAUUGUCAGAACAGAGCAGCGAGCAGCUCUGAGAAGGGGGUGAGGAUGAUGUCUUCACUAAAUCAGUGGUGCAAUGCAGCAGGCGAGGGGGCUGGGAGGAGGGGUGUGGUGCUGGGUGGAGGGCUCCCAGCUCUCAAACUCCCAGGAAGCCAGUGCUGCAGACCUGUUCUGGGGCCCCAUUAAAAACCAGAUUCCCUGAACUCCAGCCCCUGCUGCCUUUGAGCUGCAUGAACCUGCGCUUUGGUUCCUGCCACAGUGUUAAAAAAGAAGCGACUCUGUCUGCAGUAAUGGCUGAUCUAAGUCUCAGCCAUUGAGUGUCAACACACAGGACCCCACUCCAGCUCCUCCUGGGGGCAGGGCUGAUGCCAUGUGCACAUUUGGUCUUUCUCUCCCAGACCCCUGCGAUAACUUCAUCCAGGACAAGGGCCACUGGUCCUUAGUCAGAGGCAGGGAAAGAUUAGAAAUCCACCUCAGGCCCAACAACAUCUCUGCUUUCAGUUUAGACAAAAGGCAAAUUGCUUUGAGUACCCAGUGUUUGCCAAAAUAAAGAGUGGUUUCUGCAAAGGGGAAAAACUGCUGUUGUGGGAUUUUGCUUCAAACACUCAAUUGCAAACCAUUUUUCCCAAAGCAAAUUGAUAGAGAAGCAAGUAAAACAGGUGCCCCUUCUGGGAAUGAAGUCCAGGGCUGCUGGGAAGGCUGUGGGAAGGAAUAAGAAUAUCCACACGGCUGGAUCUCCACUGCUUUCUGGAAUAGUCCCCACUCUCAGUUAUCUGUGGAAUGAGAGGGGCUGGGGAGAGGGAUGAGGUAGGGCAAGCCACCACCACCAACACCCAGAGAAACAUCACACUCAGUUUCCACCAACUAAACUUCCCUCUAAAGCAAAUUUUGACCCUAAUUGUUCUCUGUCCUUUAAAUUAAUGCUUUUUUUUUUUAAGACGGAGUUUCACUCCUGUUGCCCAAGCUAGAGUGCAGUGGCAUGAUCUCGGCUCACUGCAACCUCUGCCUCCUGGGUUCAAGUGAUUCUCCUGCUUUAGCCUCCCAAGUAGCUGGGAUUACAGGUGCCCACCACCACACCCAGCUAAUUUUUUGUAUUUUUAGUAGAGAGGGGGUUUCACCAUCUUGGCCAGGCUGGUCUCGAUCUCCUGACCUCAGGUAAUCCACCUGCCUUGGCCUCCCAAAAUGCUGGGAUUACAGGUGUGAGCCACCACGCCCAGCCUAAAUUAAUGCUUUGAAUUUUGCAUGGAGACACUGAAGGAAGACAAAGUACAAGGACCCAAGUAAUAACCAAUAGAAAGAAGAAAUCCCAUGCCAGGGGCCUGGACAGCCCAAGACGUGUAUAUAAGCUCCACGUUGCCUUCCUGUUUAAGACCUUCUGCUCAGCUCAUACUGAUGGAAAUGGCAUGGGUGGGCAUGGGGGAAGUAUAGCCUCAUGACUCUCCAGCCUUCAGGGUGAU
ensembl:lncRNA novel transcript